UACGUAGGGUGCGAGCGUUGUCCGGAAUUACUGGGCGUAAAGAGCUCGUAGGUGGUUUGUCGCGUUGUCCGUGAAAACUCACAACUCAAUUGUGGGCGUGCGGGCGAUACGGGCAGACUGGAGUACUGCAGGGGAGACUGGAAUUCCUGGUGUAGCGGUGGAAUGCGCAGAUAUCAGGAGGAACACCGGUGGCGAAGGCGGGUCUCUGGGCCGAUACUGACGCUGAGGCGCGAAAGCGUGGGGAGCAAACAGG
rnacentral:rRNA from 1 species